rnacentral:lncRNA from 1 species
CAAGAUCAAUGGUACAAAUUCAAUCUGACUAAAGUGACCAACCCUAUGGAAACCCUAACCUCAUUGAAACACUAUAAAAAGAGGUACUCUCUACCCAUAUGAGCUCAUCAUCUCUCUCUUCUCUCUCCCAUAUCUCUCUUAGAGGGGCCCGCCCCGCAUAGUAGUGUUUCUUUCUCCCUCUCAUCCCAUAGAAGGAGUAUGCCCCACAUAAACUUCGUUUAGGUUAUGAUGUUCUCUCUCCCAUCUCUCUCUCUCAUGGCCUAUGGGUUAAAGGUUUAAUAUUGAGAAGCACAUCUCUCAUCUAGAUACUUAAGGGGUGAAAUCUUAGUUUUGAUUCUUUUGAAAUCUCUCAUCUAGAUACUUAAGGGGUGAAAUCUUAGUUUUGAUUCUUUUGAAAUCUAAGCUUUGUGAUAAAAAUUCAUGUUCCUAUUGGAGGUUUGGCCCAUAUGUGCUCUCAUCUUGGAGAUUGAAGUUGACCAUUGAUCCCACGCUAUUGGAGGUGGAAACUCGGUGUGAGGUUGAUUAAGCCAAGUUGAAAUAAUCUCCAGCAUCCUAUUUUCGUUUCUUGCCAUGCUUAUUGCUUUUAUCUUUUGUUAUUCCCAAGCUUAGUAUUGUGGUUUUUCUUUGAUCAAUGAAAGAGUGAUUUUAGUGGCAUCGAGUUUUAGAUCCAGUUUUUAUUUAUUUUUUGUUAUUUUUCAAGUCAAUUUAUUGUCAUGGACCAUUUGUAAGUAAUCUGACCAGAAAAGAAAAAUAAAAGAGAAGAAAAAGAAUAAAAAAAAAAGAAUACAUGCUUAGAGAUUCAGAAAAAUUCAAACAAUAAUUCUAAAAAUCAAAUAACAUUAACACAAUUAUAAUUAAAUACUUUUUUUUUAUAAUAUUAUAAUUAUAAUUAAAUAUUUUUGAUGGAAAUUGGAUCCAUAUGGUCUGAGAAUAAUUAAAACUCUGGAGUACUCCACCUUCUACUGUGGACCACGAUCCACAGUUACUUUUUCAAACUGACCCAACGGUUCCCAUGACCUACAGUUUAUCGUAGGGGCUCAUAAUUGGGCCACCAAAGUCAGCCAAUGGGCAAGGGGACGAAAUCCCAGUCUGUGGAUUUCAAGUUCUCGAUUCUCCCUUAGAGACGAAUCAAAGUCACCUAGACCUAAUGCAACCACAACUCUAUGAUGCAUACGGGUAAUCUUUCGCACAUGUACAUGCUUCACCAUGAAAGGUGGUUCACUUUUCCAAUACGGCUAUCAUAUGUACAUGUUGUGUGAUGGUACAGGGAUGAAGCUUUGGCCCCCGUCUCUGAGGGCCACCAUCACACACAAUGAUCACACAGUUACUCGGCUCACUCAUCUAGGUAUACUCAGACCUCAUCAAGGGAUGACCCAUCAUAAACUUUAUCGGGUUAAGGUCCAUGCCUAGGUAACAUAGGUUUUUCCCAACUGACUGGCCUAACACGUCAAGCUUAGUCUGGUAUUGGCAAACAUCAUUUGCUUAGUAUGUAUUUUUUUUUUUUUAGAAUUUUAAAUAUAUUUUUAAUUAGACAUUGUAAGUGAUAUUGCUGAUGUAAGAAAAGAAAAAUUUUAAAUAUAUAUACAACAUGUACCAAUUGUUAAUAGCCCAUACAACGCUUAGGAACUGUUAACUCUUCAUAUAUACAUUGUUUACUGUGUCUAUAUGUCCACAAAUACUAAGAACAGUCCCUAUAGGUGAUAAAUUUCAACAAAACGCACAUAUUUUUUACGACGUGUUAACAACCUUUAUAAUGGAAAGCCCAAACGCAACAAUCCAUUCCCAUUGCUAGACAAUGUGUAAUUGUGUAUAUACAAUGUUAAUUACUCUAUGCACACCAUUUACAGUGUAUGAAUAACUUUGCAUAAUAGUGCAUAUGGUCAAUAAACACUAUUAGUAAUGUAUUUGGACUAUGGAAAACCAUUGGCGCAUAACAAAAAAAAAAACAUCAAUCAAAGAAAUGCAAUAAAAUUAUUGCACAUAUACGAAAAGGCAAUGAUGCAAAAUAAUUGUACAUAUACAUAGGCCUUGCUACUUUCUGCUCUUGAUUCAAUUGGAAAAGUGCACGAUGGAAAAUGCAAUUUUCAAUCAAAUCGAGUGUUGUGCUGGGCCUAGCGGGGCAAUAACAAUAUAUCAAGAACAAUGACAAAAGCAAAUUAGAAAAGGAACUCAUUUGACAGCAUUCCUAAUAUUAAGAAAAUAAUGCAAAAACCAAAAUUGCAUUAUGCAUGAGAAGAAAGAAAAUUUAAGCCAUGAAUUUUGUAGAAUACAUAAACCUUGACCUUACAUAAUCAAGAGAAGCACAAAUCAUACAAAAAUUCAUUAAAGAAAAAUACCAUCAAGUGUACCCACAAAAAAUCUCACUACAAACAAAUAAAAGGAUCCCUACCUAUGAAAUAGAUCAGAAAUUCAAAGCAAAACCAAGUGGCAAAUGGAAAUUGUCAAAUGAAACAAAAAAAGAUCAAAUAAUUCCCAGUUAAAAUAUCUGCCAAAAUAAUGUGCUUUUAUAAAGAAAACCAAAUACAAGAGCCACCAAAUAACAAUUACAAAAAGGAAAUUGCCCAAUUACAUAUAGACUAUCAACAAAGUCUAAAUCAAUCAAAAAAUAUCCAAAUAAUAACAAUUCAUGUACAUAAUUCCUAAUUAAAUACCCCAAAAUUAUAGAUCAUGCAAAUU